rnacentral:rRNA from 1 species
GGACCGUAUACAAGUCUCCUGGGAUGGAGCAUCAUAGAGGGUGAGAAUCCCGUCUUUGAUACGGACUACCAGUGCAUUGUGGUAUGCUCUCAACGAGUCGAGUUGUUUGGGAAUGCAGCUCAAAAUGGGUGGUAAAUUCCAUCUAAAGCUAAAUAUUGGCGAGAGACCGAUAGCGAACAAGUACCGUGAGGGAAAGAUGAAAAGAACUUUGGAAAGAGAGUUAAACAGUACGUGAAAUUGCUGAAAGGGAAACGCUUGAAGUCAGUCGCGUCUGCUGGGAAUCAGCCUCACUCCUGUGUGGUGUACUUUCUGGUAGACGGGUCAGCAUCAGUUUUGACCAUUGGAAAAAGGUGUGGGGAAUGUGACAGCUCCGGCUGUGUUAUAGCCCCAUAUUGUAUACAGUGGUUGGGACUGAGGAACGCAGCACGCCGCAAGGCCGGGUCUUCGGACUACGUUCGUGCUUAGGAUGCUGGCAUAAUGGCUUUAAGCGACCCGUCUUGAAACACGGACCAAGGAGUCUAACAUGCCUGCGAGUGUUUGGGUGGAAAACUCGAGCGCGCAAUGAAAGUGAAAGUUGAGAUCCCUGUCGUGGGGAGCAUCGACGCCCGGACCAGAACUUUUGGGACGGAUCCGCGGUAGAGCAUGUAUGUUGGGACCCGAAAGAUGGUGAACUAUGCCUGAAUAGGGUGAAGCCAGAGGAAACUCUGGUGGAGGCUCGUAGCGGUUC